UACCAGCACCCCGAGUGGUCGGGACGAUUAUUGGGCCUAAAGCCUCCGUAGCCGGUUCUACAAGUCUUCCGUUAAAUCCACCUGCUUAACAGAUGGGCUGCGGAGGAUACUAUAGAGCUAGGAGGCGGGAGAGGCAAGCGGUACUUAGUGGGUAGGGGUAAAAUCCGUUGAUCCAUUGAAGACCACCAGUGGCGAAGGCGGCUUGCCAGAACGCACUCGACGGUGAGGGAUGAAAGCUGGGGGAGCAAGCCGG
rnacentral:rRNA from 1 species